rnacentral:tRNA from 1 species
UGGGGUAUAGCCAAGUGGUAAGGCACCUGGUUUUGGUCCAGGCAUCCGGGAGUUCGAAUCUCUCUACCCCAGCCA